rnacentral:tRNA from 1 species
UGUCCAGGGAUGGGAAUCGAACCCACAGUGUUCCGCUUACUGGGCAGAUGCCAUGUCCACUAGGCCUUUCUCAGGUUGCCUAAAC